UGAUCAUGGCUCAGAACGUACGCUGGCGGCACGCCUAACACAUGCAAGUCGAACGAAGUAGCAAUACUUAGUGGCAGACGGGUGAGUAACAUGUAGGUAUCUGCCCUUUGGCCUGGAAUAACACGAGGAAACUUGUGCUAAUACCGGAUAAGUCUUUACGGAGAAAGCUUUAUGCACCAUUGGAUGAGCCUGCACUUGAUUAGUUUGUUGGUGGGGUAAUGGCCUACCAAGACUGUGAUCAAUAGCUGAUUUGAGAGGAUGAUCAGCCACAUUGGGACUGAGACACGGCCCAAACUCCUACGGGAGGCAGCAGUGGGGAAUCUUGCACAAUGGAGGAAACUCUGAUGCAGCGAUGCCGCGUGAGUGAAGAAGGCCCUUGGGUUGUAAAGCUCUUUCGUCGGGGAAGAAAAUGACUGUACCCGAAUAAGAAGGUCCGGCUAACUUCGUGCCAGCAGCCGCGGUAAUACGAAGGGACCUAGCGUAGUUCGGAAUUACUGGGCUUAAAGAGUUCGUAGGUGGUUGAAAAAGUUAGUGGUGAAAUCCCAGAGCUUAACUCUGGAACUGCCAUUAAAACUUUUCAGCUAGAGUAUGAUAGAGGAAAGCAGAAUUUCUAGUGUAGAGGUGAAAUUCGUAGAUAUUAGAAAGAAUACCAAUUGCGAAGGCAGCUUUCUGGAUCAUUACUGACACUGAGGAACGAAAGCAUGGGUAGCGAAGAGGAUUAGAUACCCUCGUAGUCCAUGCCGUAAACGAUGUGUGUUAGACGUUGGAAAUUUAUUUUCAGUGUCGCAGGGAAACCGAUAAACACACCGCCUGGGGAGUACGACCGCAAGGUUAAAACUCAAAUGAAUUGACGGGGACCCGCACAAGUAGUGGAGCAUGUGGUUUAAUUCGAAGAUACGCGCAGAACCUUACCAACACUUGACAUGUUCGUCGCGACUCUAAGAGAUUAGAGUUUUCGGUUCGGCCGGACGAAACACAGGUGCUGCAUGGCUGUCGUCAGCUCGUGUCGUGAGAUGUUGGGUUAAGUCCCGCAACGAGCGCAACCCUCACUUUUAGUUGCCAUCAUUAAGUUGGGCACUCUGAAAGAACUGCCAGUGAUAAGCUGGAGGAAGGUGGGGAUGACGUCAAGUCCUCAUGGCCCUUACGUGUUGGGCUACACACGUGCUACAAUGGUAUCUACAACAGGAAGCAAGACUGCGAAGUUAAGCAAAUCCCUAAAAGAUACCUCAGUUCGGAUUGCACUCUGCAACUCGAGUGCAUGAAGCUGGAAUUACUAGUAAUCGUGGAUCAGCGUGCCACGGUGAAUGCGUUCCCGGGUCUUGUACACACCGCCCGUCACACCAUGGGAGUUGGUUCUACCUUAAGGCAAGGUUUCAAACCCUUGACCACGGUAUAGUCAGCGACUGGGGUGAAGUCAUAACAAGGUAGCCGUA
rnacentral:rRNA from 1 species